GACGUAGGAGGCAAGCGUUGUUCGGAAUUACUGGGCGUAAAGCGCACGUAGGCGGCUUUGUAAGUUAGAGGUGAAAGCCCGGGGCUCAACUCCGGAAUUGCCUUUAAGACUGCAUCGCUAGAAUUGUGGAGAGGUAAGUGGAAUUCCGAGUGUAGAGGUGAAAUUCGUAGAUAUUCGGAAGAACACCAGUGGCGAAGGCGACUUACUGGACACAUAUUGACGCUGAGGUGCGAAAGCGUGGGGGAGCAAACAGG
rnacentral:rRNA from 1 species